rnacentral:rRNA from 1 species
UACGUAGGGGGCAAGCGUUAUCCGGAUUUACUGGGUGUAAAGGGAGCGUAGACGGCGAUGCAAGCCAGAUGUGAAAGCCCGGGGCUCAACCCCGGGACUGCAUUUGGAACUGUGAGGCUGGAGUGUCGGAGAGGCAGGCGGAAUUCCUAGUGUAGCGGUGAAAUGCGUAGAUAUUAGGAGGAACACCAGUGGCGAAGGCGGCCUGCUGGACGAUGACUGACGUUGAGGCUCGAAAGCGUGGGGAGCAAACAGG